GGAAUCCAAGGAUUUUACUUUUCUCUAACUCUCCUCUUUUUUCCUCUACCUACCCAUCUCUCCAAAUCUCGUCUUAAAAAAGAAAAAAAUAAUAAAAGGUUUGUGUGCAUUUUCCAAUAAUAAAACAAAAAUUUAUUUAAUUGUACAGAUAUAAUGAAAAUUGCCGAAACUUUGGGGCCCAUUUUUGAGAUACAGUGAAAAUUCUCACAAGUUUGGGGCCCAUGUUUGUUGUAAUUUGGUUCUGUUGAGUGUUUGACUUUAUAUUUUCAUAUUAUGGCCUAACCUUCUUGCAGUUGCAGAGUUUGGAAGUUGAGGGGAUG
rnacentral:misc_RNA from 1 species